UUAAGCGACUAAGCGUACACGGUGGAUGCCCUGGCAGUCAGAGGCGAUGAAGGACGUGCUAAUCUGCGAAAAGCGUCGGUAAGGUGAUAUGAACCGUUACAGCCGGCGAUGUCCGAAUGGGGAAACCCAGUGCAAUUCGUUGCACUAUCGUUAACUGAAUACAUAGGUUAACGAGGCGAACCGGGGGAACUGAAACAUCUAAGUACCCCGAGGAAAAGAAAUCAACCGAGAUUCCCCCAGUAGCGGCGAGCGAACGGGGAGCAGCCCAGAGUCUGAAUCAGCUUGUGUGUUAGUGGAACGGUCUGGAAAGUCCGACGGUACAGGGUGAUAGUCCCGUACACCAAAAUGCACAGGUUGUGAACUCGAAGAGUAGGGCGGGACACGUGGUAUCCUGUCUGAAUAUGGGGGGACCAUCCUCCAAGGCUAAAUACUCCUGACUGACCGAUAGUGAACCAGUACCGUGAGGGAAAGGCGAAAAGAACCCCGGCGAGGGGAGUGAAAAAGAACCUGAAACCGUGUACGUACAAGCAGUGGGAGCACCUUCGGGUGUGACUGCGUACCUUUUGUAUAAUGGGUCAGCGACUUAUAUUCUGUAGCAAGGUUAACCGUAUAGGGGAGCCGCAGGGAAACCGAGUCUUAACUGGGCGUUAAGUUGCAGGGUAUAGACCCGAAACCCGGUGAUCUAGCCAUGGGCAGGUUGAAGGUUGGGUAACACUAACUGGAGGACCGAACCGACUAAUGUUGAAAAAUUAGCGGAUGACUUGUGGCUGGGGGUGAAAGGCCAAUCAAACCGGGAGAUAGCUGGUUCUCCCCGAAAGCUAUUUAGGUAGCGCCUCGUGAACUCAUCUUCGGGGGUAGAGCACUGUUUCGGCUAGGGGGUCAUCCCGACUUACCAACCCGAUGCAAACUACGAAUACCGAAGAAUGUUAUCACGGGAGACACACGGCGGGUGCUAACGUCCGUCGUGAAGAGGGAAACAACCCAGACCGCCAGCUAAGGUCCCAAAGUCAUGGUUAAGUGGGAAACGAUGUGGGAAGGCACAGACAGCCAGGAUGUUGGCUUAGAAGCAGCCAUCAUUUAAAGAAAGCGUAAUAGCUCACUGGUCGAGUCGGCCUGCGCGGAAGAUGUAACGGGGCUAAACCAUGCACCGAAGCUGCGGCAGCGACACUAUGUGUUGUUGGGUAGGGGAGCGUUCUGUAAGCCUGCGAAGGUGUGCUGUGAGGCAUGCUGGAGGUAUCAGAAGUGCGAAUGCUGACAUAAGUAACGAUAAAGCGGGUGAAAAGCCCGCUCGCCGGAAGACCAAGGGUUCCUGUCCAACGUUAAUCGGGGCAGGGUGAGUCGACCCCUAAGGCGAGGCCGAAAGGCGUAGUCGAUGGGAAACAGGUUAAUAUUCCUGUACUUGGUGUUACUGCGAAGGGGGGACGGAGAAGGCUAUGUUAGCCGGGCGACGGUUGUCCCGGUUUAAGCAUGUAGGCUGGUUGUCCAGGCAAAUCCGGAUAAUCAAGGCUGAGGUGUGAUGACGAGGCACUACGGUGCUGAAGUAACAAAUGCCCUGCUUCCAGGAAAAGCCUCUAAGCAUCAGGUAACAUCAAAUCGUACCCCAAACCGACACAGGUGGUCAGGUAGAGAAUACCAAGGCGCUUGAGAGAACUCGGGUGAAGGAACUAGGCAAAAUGGUGCCGUAACUUCGGGAGAAGGCACGCUGGGGUGUAGGUGAAGUCCCUGCGGAUGGAGCUGAGACCAGUCGAAGAUACCAGCUGGCUGCAACUGUUUAUUAAAAACACAGCACUGUGCAAACACGAAAGUGGACGUAUACGGUGUGGCGCCUGCCCGGUGCCGGAAGGUUAAUUGAUGGGGUUAUCCGUAAGGAGAAGCUCUUGAUCGAAGCCCCGGUAAACGGCGGCCGUAACUAUAACGGUCCUAAGGUAGCAAAAUUCCUUGUCGGGUAAGUUCCGACCUGCACGAAUGGCGUAAUGAUGGCCAGGCUGUCUCC
rnacentral:rRNA from 1 species